GACGAACGCUGGCGGCGUGCCUAAUACAUGCAAGUAGAACGCACAGUUAUACCGUAGCUUGCUACACCCUAGACUGUGAGUUGCGAACGGGUGAGUAACGCGUAGGUAACCUGCCUGGUAGCGGGGGAUAACUAUUGGAAACGAUAGCUAAUACCGCAUAAUAUUGAUUAUUGCAUGAUAAUUGAUUGAAAGAUGCUAUUGCACCACUACCAGAUGGACCUGCGUUGUAUUAGCUAGUAGGUGAGGUAACGGCUCACCUAGGCGACGAUACAUAGCCGACCUGAGAGGGUGAUCGGCCACACUGGGACUGAGACACGGCCCAGACUCCUACGGGAGGCAGCAGUAGGGAAUCUUCGGCAAUAGACGAAAGUCUGACCGAGCAACGCCGCGUGAGUGAAGAAGGUUGUCGGAUCGUAAAGCUCUGUUGUAAGAGAAGAACGGGUGUGAGAGUGGAAAGUUCACACUGUGACGGUAUCUUACCAGAAAGGGACGGCUAACUACGUG
rnacentral:rRNA from 1 species